rnacentral:rRNA from 1 species
GACAACGCUGGCGGCGUGCCUAAUACAUGCAAGUCGAACGGGAUUCUUUGAUCAGUUUGCUGAGAGAAGGAUCUAGUGGCGGACGGGUGAGUAACGCGUGGGAAUCUGCCUCUUACUGGGGGAUAACAGUGGGAAACUACUGCUAAUACCGCAUAAGAUCUUCGGAUGAAAGGUGCAACUGCACCGGUAAGAGAUGAGCCCGCGUCCCAUUAGCUAGUUGGUGAGGUAAAGGCUCACCAAGGCGACGAUGGGUAGCCGGCCUGAGAGGGUGAACGGCCACACUGGGACUGAGACACGGCCCAGACUCCUACGGGAGGCAGCAGUAGGGAAUCUUCCGCAAUGGGCGCAAGCCUGACGGAGCGACGCCGCGUGAGUGAUGAAGGCCUUCGGGUCGUAAAGCUCUGUUCUUGAGGACGAAUAAGCCAGGGAGUGGAAAGCCCUGGUGAUGACUGUACUCAAGGAGAAAGCUCCGGCUAACUACGUG